rnacentral:lncRNA from 1 species
AUUAUUAUAGUAUAAAAUGUAAGUUAAGAGUUAGUUGUGGCUCUUAAAAAUAAAGAAGGAAGUGGGGCUCUUAAUGAUUUGAGGAGCAACUAAGAGUCUAUUGGAGUUGCAUUUUCACUCCUCUUCUUUAAAUUUUGAGUUAAGAGCUCAAAUAAGGAGGCUAUUGGAGAUGCUCUUAAUAGAUUAAAUGGUUAGUGAAUGAGUUUAUUGUUAGCGCACAUAACACGAAUCAACGUCCAGGCAGUGGAGUGAAUUAAUAGGCAAUGGAAUGAAUUGACAUUCAACCCGUGAAAUUCCAAUAAGGUAAAUCCAAGCAGCUGCGGCAAUUCAUUUUUAUGUGGGGUUUUGAAGAUGGCGGAGGUAAGGGCGGAGGCGAAGGUGGACGGGGCAGUGGAGAUGUGGAUGGAUUUGUAGUGAUAGAUCGAGAUAGUGAAGUUAGACAAAGAAGUGAUGGUUGUUGGGGAAUGAGCGCAUGGAGGUGGAGCGGAGAUGACAAAGGUAGCGGUGGAGGCGGAGUUGAAGGAGAUGGAGGUUGAGGUAGUGGUGGGGGUGGAGGCGGAGUUGAAGGAGAUGGAGGUUGAGGUAGUGGUGGGGGUGGAGGCGGAGUUGAAGGAGAUGGAGGUUGAGGUAGUGGUGGGGGUGGAGGCGGAGUUGAAGGAGAUGGAGGUUGAGGUAGUGGUGGGGUUGAAGGUAGAGAUUGAGGUGGGUUUGUCGUAGAAUUAGUGAUAGCUGCUUUAGAAAUUAGUGAUCCUGUAGCUGAUUUUUAGUUUGUUGAAUAUGAAGGGGGUUUGUAGUUGAAUAAGACUCAACAUGAGCAAGUGAUCAAAUACAAAUCAGCUCUUAAAUGCAAACUAAAAAUAAGUUUCUCUACCACUAAUUAUAACUACGGCUAUCACUAAUUUAUAC